rnacentral:sRNA from 1 species
GCGGCCCCGAGCCCGCGGGGCUGUGCGGAUGGUAGGGAUGCCGACCCUACUGAGAAGCAGAUGGCAGAAACAGAGAGAAACGACGAGGAGCAGUUCGAAUGCCAGGAACUGCUCGAGUGCCAGGUGCAGGUGGGGGCCCCCGAUGAGGAGGAGGAGGAGGAGGAGGACGCGGGCCUGGUGGCCGAGGCCGAGGCCGUGGCUGCCGGCUGGAUGCUCGAUUUCCUCUGCCUCUCUCUUUGCCGAGCUUUCCGCGACGGCCGCUCCGAGGACUUCCGCAGGACCCGCAACAGCGCAGAGGGUGAGGGCAGACCACGUCCGGGCCGGGACUACGCGGGGGGCGGAUGCGGGCUCCGUGGUGCGCGGCAGAGGGCUGGUUUCCUAGGUCGCCGAGGGAGGUCGGGAGAGAGGGGCUGCUGCGGCCGAUUAGCUGGGAGUCCGAGGCUCCGGGCUGAACUUUGUUCGAAUCCCAGUUCGCCCGUUGUCAGCACCUGAGUUUUUCUCAGAUUGAUUUCCUCUUCGAUAAAAUGAAAAUAAGACCCUGUUUAGGUUUGAUGCAAGCAUUACAUGAUUUAAAAUGUAUACAGUUCCACUCAACCCAGGACCUUUGUCUCUUUUGGCGCUUUCUACUCAGGUAUUCCUGUAGUAAUAUUCAGCAGUCCCUGUGGCCUCCAGUGACCCCCCAGGCAUCAGUGUUUUAUGUUAAUUUGUGAGCUAUUAAACCUUAUUUGGCCUGCUGGCUCUACAGCAGUUACUUUUAUUCUGUAUAGUCUCAGAAUAAAAGUAAAUGUUGGCCACAUGCCUGCAAGUCCCAGCUACUUGGGAGCCUGAGGUGGGAGGAUUGCUUGAACCCAAGAGGCAGAGGCUGCAGUGAGUUGAGGUCGUGCCACUACAGUCCUGCCUGGGUAGCAGAGUGAUACCCUGUAUGAAUAAAUGAAUGAAUGAAACUGUUCAUGAAAUCUGCUGCACCCCGCCCCCGUCCCAAGAUGGGGUCUCACUGUCACCCAGGCUGGAGAGUGUAGUGGCGCCAUCACAGCUCACUGCAGGCUCGACCUCAGGCUCAGGUAUCCUCCCGCUUCAGCUUCUGGAGUAGCUGGGUCUGCAGGCGUGCACCACCACCCGCAGCUGUAAGAUUACAGGUGUGAGCCACCGCGCCUGGCCUAGUGUAGCUUUUUGAAAAACAACAGAAAGAUGUUCUGGUACUUCAUUCAUAGUUGGCGCUAAAAUUACUGUGCAAGUAUAUAUUUAUAAUACUAUAAUUAUGCUAUUUAAUAGAAUUCUUAGAAAGACAUUUUGACACAUUUCAUCUUCACCAUAAUCCUGUGAGUUAGGCAAAUAAUCUUAGUUUUAAGGUACUGAUAGGUUAAAAGGGAGUGUUUCAGCCCCAUGCUUUAUCUUCCAGUUCAAGGAUCUUUCCUCUGUAUUGCGGUUAACACUGGAGCCAGGGAUAAUUAAUAUUAAGUAGAAAAUUAAAUCCUGGAAUGAAGCUAGUUCCUUAGAAUUCUCUUAGAGUUCUCUUAGAGUUGGAGACAUCAGUAUGAACUGUUUAGCUCAUGUAGGUAUAGAUGACUUAGAAAUAUUUGCAUAUGCAUGUGUAGACAUAGGUUACUAUACAAAUAUGUAUUUCCUUACUCUGUCAGAUAAAAGGGCACAGAAGCAACCUAACUCUAGUAACAAUGAGUACACCUAGCACCCCGAUCUUGUUUACAACUAAGUUUAGUUUAAAGACCUCACUUGGCUUUAUUGUGAUUCUGGAUUCAGGUAAUACUUUAUUCCAUAAAAUAAGUGCUCAAUGAAUUGAGCAGUUGGGGGUUGGCUUUAUAGACAGUAAGGACUUAAGGAAGCUGAAACAGAACAAAAAGAAGAUUGGUUAUUUCACAGUUACUUGUAAGGCUGGGACAGGGAGACAGAACAAUAGAUACAUGGGAUGCAGAAUGGAUGUUGUGUUAUCAGGCAUGAAAGCAACAGUAAUUUCCUUGUAUGUACGUCUCCCUCAGAGCUCUUGAGUGGUUAGGCGCAUUAUCAAUGAGCAAUGGUAUUUUGAAAGGAAUCUUUUUUCCAAGCAGUAAAUCUCAAUAAUGGGCUUAAAAUAUUCAGUAAACCAUGGUGUAAACAGAGGCACUGUCAUCUUGUUCCAUUUCUAGAGCACAGGCAAAGUUGAUAUAUCAUUUUAAGGGCCUUAAGAUUUUCAGAAUGAGAAAUGGGCAAUGGGUUUAACUAAAAGUCACCAGCAGCAUUAGUCCCUAACAAGAGAGUCAGCCUGUCCUUUGAAAUAUUGAAGUUAGGCAUUGACUUCUCUCUGGCUAUGAAAGUUCUCUAUGACAUCUUCUUCUAAUAUGAGGCUGUUUCAUCUACAAUGAAAAUCUGUUGUUGGCUGGAUACAGUGGCUCACACCUGUAAUCCCAGCCCUUUGGAAGGCCAAGGCAGUUGGAUCACUUGCGGUCAGGAGCUUGAGACACCAGCCUGGCCAACAUGGCAAAACUCCAUCUCUACUAAAAAUACAAAAAUUAGCUGGGCAUUGUGGCACACAUCUGUAAUCCCAGCUACUCAGGAGGCUGAGGCACGAGAAUCAAUCACUUGAACCUGGGAGGUGGAGGCUGCAGUGAGCCAAGGUCACGCCACUGCACUCCAACCUGGGUGACACGGCGAGAAAAAAACAAAAUCAGUUGUUUAGUGUAACCACCUUCAUUUGUGAUUGUAGCUAGAUCUUCUCAAUAACUUGUAGCUUUUACUUCAGCACUUGCUGCUUCACCUUGCACUUCUAUGUCACAGAGAUGGCUUCUUUUCUUAAACCUCAUGAACCAACAACCUCUGCUAGCUUCCAACUUUUCUUUUGCAAUUUUCUUACCUCUUUCAGCCUUCUUAGACUUGCUCUGGAUUAGGCUGUGGCUUAAAGGAAUGUUGUGGCUGGUUUGAUUUUUUUUCUAUCCAAGUCAAACUUUCUCCAUAUAAGCAAUAGGCUCUUUUACUUUCUUAUCAUUUAUGUGUUCAGUGGAUUAGAACUUUUAAUUUCCUUUGAGAACUUUUCCUUUGUAUUAACAACUUGGCUGUUAGACACAAGAGGCCUAUGUUUCAGCCUAUCAUGGCAUUUGACAUCCUUUCCUCACUAAGCUUAAUCAUUUCCAGCUUUUGAUUUAAAGUGAAUGACUUGCAACUCUUCCUUUCACUGAAACACUUGGAGGGCAUGUAGAGUUACUCAUUGGCCUAAUUUCAAUAUUGUUGUGUUUCAGGAAAUAAGGAGGCCUGAAGAGAGGGAGUAAGGGGAAGGGCGGGUCAGUGGAGCAGUUAGAACACACACAAUAUUUAUGGAAUAAGUUUGUGUCUUAUAUGGGCAUGAUUUGUGGUACUCCAGAACCUUUACAAUAGUAACAUCAGAGAUUAUUGAUCACAGACCACCAUACAGAUACAAUAAUAAUGAAAAAGUUUGAAAUAUUGCAAGAAUUAUCAAAAUGUGACAGGUACAGGUACUGUUAGAAAAAUGAGCCGGACGUGGUGGCUCAUGCCUGUAAUCCCAGCACUUUGGGAGGCUGAGGCGGGCGGAUCACGAGGUCAGGAGAUCGAGACCAUCCUGGCUAACAUGGUGAAACCCCGUCUCUACU